rnacentral:rRNA from 1 species
CAAGUCGAGCGAGGCGGAGGGGGCAACUCCUUCCAGUCGAGCGGCGGACGGGUGAGUAACACGUGGGUAACCUGCCCGGAAGUGGGGAAUACCUCGGAGAAAUUCGAGCUAAUACCGCAUGACAUCUUCGGGACGAAAGUCCUGACGAUCAAAGCGGGGUCGCAAGAUCUCGCGCUACCGGAUGGGCCCGCGCCCGAUUAGCUAGUUGGUGAGGUAACGGCUCACCAAGGCUUCGAUCGGUAACCGGCCUGAGAGGGCGAUCGGUCACACCGGAACUGAGACACGGUCCGGACUCCUACGGGAGGCAGCAGUGGGGAAUCUUGCGCAAUGGGCGAAAGCCUGACGCAGCAACGCCGCGUGGAGGAUGAAGGCCCUUGGGUUGUAAACUCCUGUCGGCUGGGAAGAAAUCGUUCGUGGCUCAUACCCACGGACGUUGACUGUACCAGCAAAGGAAGCCCCGGCUAACUCUGUGCCAGCAGCCGCGGUAAUACAGAGGGGGCUAGCGUUAUUCGGAAUUAUUGGGCGUAAAGGGCGCGUAGGCGGCCAUGCGUGUCUUCCGUGAAAUCCCUCGGCUUAACUGAGGACGUGCGGAAGAAACUGCAAGGCUCGAGUCCGGGAGAGGGGGGUGGAAUUCCCAGUGUAGCGGUGAAAUGCGUAGAUAUUGGGAGGAACACCGGUGGCGAAGGCGGCCCCCUGGACCGGUACUGACGCUGAGGCGCGAAAGCGUGGGUAGCAAACGGGAUUAGAUACCCCGGUAGUCCACGCCGUAAACCAUGGGCACUUGGUGUCGCGGGUAUCGACCCCUGCGGUGCCGAAGCUAACGCAUUAAGUGCCCCGCCUGGGGAGUACGGUCGCAAGGCUGAAACUCAAAGGAAUU